UUGCUUAGGCAGCACAUAUAUUAAAAUUGGAAUGAUACAGAGAUUAUCAUGGCNCCUGUACAAGGAUGACACACAAAUUUGGGAAGAGUUCCAUAUUUAA
rnacentral:snRNA from 1 species